UGGGGAAUCUUGCACAAUGGGCGCAAGCCUGAUGCAGCGACGCCGCGUGGGGGAAGAAGGCCCUCGGGUUGUAAACCCCUUUCGGCAGGGAAGAAGCCGCAAGGUGACGGUACCUGCAGAAGAAGCCCCGGCCAACUACGUGCCAGCAGCCGCGGUAAGACGUAGGGGGCGAGCGUUGUCCGGAUUUAUUGGGCGUAAAGAGCGCGUAGGCGGCCCGUUAAGUCGGAUGUGAAAACCCGGGGCUCAACCCCGGGCGUGCAUCCGAUACUGGCGGGCUAGAGGCAGACAGGGGAGAGUGGAAUUCCCGGUGUAGCGGUGAAAUGCGCAGAUAUCGGGAGGAACACCGGUGGCGAAGGCGGCUCUCUGGGUCUGUCCUGACGCUCAGGCGCGAAAGCUAGGGGAGCAAACAGGAUUAGAUACCCGUGUAGUCC
rnacentral:rRNA from 1 species